rnacentral:rRNA from 2 species
GUAGUACAGGUAGAUCGAGCAUGCGCUCAGUCGUCGUAGCAAGGUAGAGUUAGUUCGUGGCUGAGUCAGACGGAGGUAGGAAGGGAUAGAGAGAGCCUUUUGAGUGGGUGAUAGAAAGGGAAAAAUUACGCUAAUACCGCAUACGACCUACGGGUGAAAGCRGGGGAUCUUCGGACCUUGCGCGAUUGAAUGAGCCGAUGUCGGAUUAUCUAGUUGGGGGGGUAAAGGCCCACCAAGGCGACGAUCCGUAGCUGGUCUGAGAGGAUGAUCAGCCACACUGGAACUGAGACACGGUCCAGACUCCUACGGGAGGCAGCAGUGGGGAAUAUUGUACAAUGGGCGCAAGCCUGAUCCAGCCAUACCGCGUGGGUGAAGAAGGCCCUCGGGUUGUAAAGCGCCUUUGUUGGGAAAGAGAUCCAGCUGGCUAUUACCCCGUUGUGAUGACGGUACCCAAAGAAUAAGCACCGGCUAUCAUCUUGCCACCAGCCGCGGUAAUACGCAGAGUGCAAGCGUUACUCGGAAAUACUGGGCGUAAAGCGUGCGUAGGUGGUCGUUUAAGUCCGUUGUGAGAGCCCUGGGCUCACCCUGGGAACUGCACUGGAUACUGGGCGACUAGAGUGUGGUAGAGAGUAGCGGGAAUCCUCGUGUAUCAGUGAAAUGCGUAGAGAUCACGAGGAACAUCCAUGGCGAAGGCAGCUACCUGUACCAACACUGACACUGAGGCACGAAAGCGUGGGGAGCAAACAGGAUUAGAUACACUGUUAGUCCACGCCCUAAACGAUGCGAACUGGGUGUUGGGUGCGAUUUGGCACGCAGUAUCUAAGCUAACGCGUUUAGUUCUCCCGCCUGGGGAGUACGGUCGCAAGACUGUAACUCUAAGGAAAUGACAGGGUC